rnacentral:rRNA from 1 species
CUGGCGGCGUGCCUAUACAUGCAAGUCGAACGAGUUCUGAUUAUUGAAAGGUGCUUGCAUCUUGAUUUAAUUUUGAACGAGUGGCGGACGGGUGAGUAACACGUGGGUAACCUGCCCUUAAGUGGGGGAUAACAUUUGGAAACAGAUGCUAAUACCGCAUAAAUCCAAGAACCGCAUGGUUCUUGGCUGAAAGAUGGCGUAAGCUAUCGCUUUUGGAUGGACCCGCGGCGUAUUAGCUAGUUGGUGAGGUAACGGCUCACCAAGGCAAUGAUACGUAGCCGAACUGAGAGGUUGAUCGGCCACAUUGGGACUGAGACACGGCCCAAACUCCUACGGGAGGCAGCAGUAGGGAAUCUUCCACAAUGGACGCAAGUCUGAUGGAGCAACGCCGCGUGAGUGAAGAAGGCUUUCGGGUCGUAAAACUCUGUUGUUGGAGAAGAAUGGUCGGCAGAGUAACUGUUGUCGGCGUGACGGUAUCCAACCAGAAAGCCACGGCUAACUACGUGCCAGCAGCCGCGGUAAUACGUAGGUGGCAAGCGUUAUCCGGAUUUAUUGGGCGUAAAGCGAGCGCAGGCGGUUUUUUAAGUCUGAUGUGAAAGCCCUCGGCUUAACCGAGGAAGUGCAUCGGAAACUGGGAAACUUGAGUGCAGAAGAGGACAGUGGAACUCCAUGUGUAGCGGUGAAAUGCGUAGAUAUAUGGAAGAACACCAGUGGCGAAGGCGGCUGUCUGGUCUGUAACUGACGCUGAGGCUCGAAAGCAUGGGUAGCGAACAGGAUUAGAUACCCUGGUAGUCCAUGCCGUAAACGAUGAAUGCUAGGUGUUGGAGGGUUUCCGCCCUUCAGUGCCGCAGCUAACGCAUUAAGCAUUCCGCCUGGGGAGUACGACCGCAAGGUUGAAACUCAAAGGAAUUGACGGGGGCCCGCACAAGCGGUGGAGCAUGUGGUUUAAUUCGAAGCAACGCGAAGAACCUUACCAGGUCUUGACAUCUUUUGAUCACCUGAGAGAUCAGGUUUCCCCUUCGGGGGCAAAAUGACAGGUGGUGCAUGGUUGUCGUCAGCUCGUGUCGUGAGAUGUUGGGUUAAGUCCCGCAACGAGCGCAACCCUUAUGACUAGUUGCCAGCAUUUAGUUGGGCACUCUAGUAAGACUGCCGGUGACAAACCGGAGGAAGGUGGGGAUGACGUCAAAUCAUCAUGCCCCUUAUGACCUGGGCUACACACGUGCUACAAUGGAUGGUACAACGAGUUGCGAGACCGCGAGGUCAAGCUAAUCUCUUAAAGCCAUUCUCAGUUCGGACUGUAGGCUGCAACUCGCCUACACGAAGUCGGAAUCGCUAGUAAUCGCGGAUCAGCACGCCGCGGUGAAUACGUUCCCGGGCCUUGUACACACCGCCCGUCACACCAUGAGAGUUUGUAACACCCGAAGCCGGUGGCGUAACCCUUUUAGGGAGCGAGCCGUCUAAGG